rnacentral:tRNA from 4 species
GCCGAUGUAGCUCAGCUGGCUAGAGCAGCUGAUUUGUAAUCAGCAGGUCGUGGGUUCGAGUCCCUCCAUCGGCUCCU